CACAAAUCCUUCAGCUUGCUCCACAUAAGAUUCAAUGAUAUUCCAAUAUCCCACUUCUUUAUUUGCAAACUUCAACUGCUGAGUUGCAACUAAAAAAAUUUAUGUCAUUAAUUUUCCCAACUGUUUUGACAGUACACACAUCACACAUGUAUUCGGGCAGUGCACUCCUCUUUGGCCAAGUCUGUCGCGAGAUGGAAGACUUUAAAUUUGUUCAGCACAUUCAACCUCCAUACUUUGUUCCAAUCCCUCUGUAUCCUUAGAUGCGAGUUAUCCACAAUGUGUUCCAUGAGAUGAUGGUAAGCCUACCAAC
rnacentral:lncRNA from 1 species